rnacentral:tRNA from 3 species
GCGGACGUGGCGGAAUUGGUAGACGCGCUGGAUUUAGGUUCCAGUAUCGCAAGAUGUGAGAGUUCAAGUCUCUCCGUCCGCACCA